rnacentral:rRNA from 1 species
UACGUAGGGGGCUAGCGUUGUCCGGAAUCAUUGGGCGUAAAGAGCGUGUAGGCGGCCCGGUAAGUCCGCUGUGAAAGUCCAGGGCUCAACCCUCGGAAGCCGGUGGAUACUGUCGAGCUAGAGUACGGAAGAGGCGAGUGGAAUUCCUGGUGUAGUGGUGAAAUGCGCAGAUAUCAGGAGGAACACCAAUGGCGAAGGCAGCUCGCUGGGACGUGACUGACGCUGAGACGCGAAAGCGUGGGGAGCAAACAGG